rnacentral:rRNA from 1 species
UGGAAGAUUGAGAGGGGCUGCUCCUAGUACGAGAGGACCGGAGUGGACGCAUCACUGGUGUUCGGGUUGUCAUGCCAAUGGCAUUGCCCGGUAGCUAAAUGCGGAAAAGAUAAGCGCUGAAAGCAUCUAAGCGCGAAACUUGCCUCGAGAUGAGUCUUCCCUGAGACCUUGAGUCUCCUAAAGGAACGUUUAAGACUAAGACGUUGAUAGGCUGGGUGUGUAAGCGUAGCGAUACGUUGAGCUAACCAGUACUAAUGAUCCGUGAGGCUUAACCUUACAACACCCAAGGUGUU